AUGAGGAGCUCCAUGGCUCUCUUAGUGGCGGCGCUGUUGCUGCUGCUAUCGGUGGCCGCGGCGGCGGACAUCUCGAGGACGGCGGACAUGUCGAGGAGCGAGGAGGAGAUGCGCCGGAUGCACGCCGAGUGGAUGGCGGAGCACGGCAGGGUCUACAAUGCCACCGGAGAGGGGAAGCGACGGUUUGAGGUGUUCAGGGACAACCUCCGCGACAUCGACCAGCACAACGCUGCCGCCGACGCCGGGGUCCACUCCUUCCGCCUCGGACUCAACCCCUUCUCCGACCUUACCUACGAGGAGUUCCAAAGCAGGUAUCUCGGCGCCCAGACCAAGCCGCAGAGGGAGCGGAAGCUCAGUGUCAGUUUACAGGCCGAAGUCAACGUGGAGCUAGCGGAGUCUGUCGACUGGAGGAAGAAGGGGGCCGUUGGUCCUGUCAAGAACCAGGGCUCUUGCUCGAGCGCCUGGGCUUUCGCAGCAACAGCAACUAUUGAAGGCAUCAACCAGAUCGUUACCGGCGACAUGAUCCCUCUGUCUGCGCAAGAGCUUCUUGACUGUACUAGCAGAUACGGCAACGACGGAUGCGAUGGAGGUCUGGCGCUCCAUGCCUUUGAGUUCAUCAUUCACAAUCGUGGCAUCGCCUCUGAGGAGGACUACCCCUACCAGGCUUCGCAAAAUCGUUGCGAUCCUGAAAAGCAAAAAUCAAGGGUUGUUACCAUUGAUGGAUACGAGAAUGUACCCAGUAAUAGUGAGAAGAGUCUGCAGAAGGCAGUUGCAAAUCAGCCAAUCGUUGCCAUGAUUAUGGUUUCUGACUCAUUCGCGAGCUACGCCGGAGGUAUCUUCAACGGAGAUUGUGAAUUCAAAGGAUCCGUUAACCAUGAAGUCGUCAUUGGCUAUGGUACAGAGGACGGCAAUGACUACUGGAUUGUUAGGAACUCAUGGGGUGCUUCGUGGGGUGAGAAUGGUUACAUCCGGAUGAAGCGUAACAUCGAAGCAAGCAGUGGCAUGCGUGGUAUUGCCUUCCAUCCUUACUACCCCCGGAAGGCGGCCAAGAUCCUGCCGUGA
rnacentral:rRNA from 1 species